UCGCAGGCGUGCAGCUUCUCCUCUGUGUGCGUGCUGCGAUGGAUGGCCAGGGAGCCGCUCCGCCGGAAGGCACGCCCACAAUCUGGGCAGGGGUAGGGCUUCUCUCCGGUGUGCAAGAGCUGGUGCUGGAGCAGCGUGCUGCGCUGGGAGAAGCGGGCCUCACAGUGCUCGCAGGCAUAGGGACGCUCCCCGGAGUGCACACGCCGGUGACUGACCAGGCGAGAGGAGGAGGAGAAGCGCCGCUCGCAGUCCGGGCACGGGUAGGGCUUCUCGCCCGUGUGGAUGCGCUGGUGGAUGACGAGGGCCGUGCGCUGGCGGAAGCGGCGGUUGCACUCGAGGCUCCAGAUGUUCCUAUAGAUAACUACAAGGAACAACUGCACCUGGUGUGUGACUGUCCUCAGCAUUCCUUCUGGUGGCAGAUGCAGUUGUCAGCUUGCCAACAUCCUGCAUUCAUGAGAACAGUGUGCUGUUUGCUCAUAUAGCCUCCAGUGGUAUACUGAGUUGGUCACGACCCUCAUUCUUUCGGCCUCCAACAUCUCCCCCUUUCUGUUUUUGCAUUAAUUGAAUAAAGGUAAUUGCAGGCUGUGCAGCUCUCAAUUGCCAGCUGGUGGUCCAGCUGAUUUUACAGACUGUGAACAAAAAGCAGAAACAUAAUAACAUUUUUCCAAUAAUUACACAAAAG
rnacentral:lncRNA from 1 species